AGCGUGGCGCUGGCUCCCGGAAUAUGGAGCCCUGGGCGCGGGGGCGGCGUGUCAGGUGGUUGCGGAGCUGAAUCAUAUUCUAAGAACUCAGCCACUCAGGUAUCCACCAUGGUGCUGGGUCCUGAACAGAAGAUGUCAGAUGACAGUGUUUCUGGAGAUCAUGGGGAGUCUGCCAGUCUUGGUAACAUCAACCCUGCCUAUAGUAAUCCCUCUCUUUCACAGUCCCCUGGGGACUCAGAGGAGUACUUCGCCACUUACUUUAAUGAGAAGAUCUCCAUUCCUGAGGAGGAGGCUAGAGUGCAAUGGUGCAAUCCUGGCUCACCGCAACCUCCUCCUCCCGCAUUCAAGUGAUUCUCCUGCCUCAGCCUCCCGAGUAGCUGGGAUUACAGAAUAAGAGGCUGAUGGAACCUGCAGGUAAGGGAAGAGCUUUGACUUGGACAGAGAAGUGGCCAGCUUCUUAAUAAAAAUACUCUUGUUUUAGCUUUCGUAAACUCUGGGCUUUCACCGGACCAGGUUUUCUUAUGAGCAUUGCCUACCUGGAUCCAGGAAAUAUUGAAUCCGAUUUGCAGUCUGGAGCAGUGGCUG
rnacentral:lncRNA from 10 species